rnacentral:snRNA from 9 species
AUAUUUACCUGGCCUGGGAGACACUAUGAUAAGGCAGGUGAUUUUUCCUUGAGUGAGGCUCAUCUCCUGCGUUCUGGGUGUGCUGACCCCUGUGAUUUCCCCAAAAGCAGGGAAAUCUCUGCUUGGGCACCUUC